UACGUAGGGUGCGAGCGUUAAUCGGAAUUACUGGGCGUAAAGCGUGCGCAGGCGGCUUUGUAAGACAGAUGUGAAAUCCCCGGGCUUAACCUGGGAACUGCGUUUGUGACUGCAAAGCUAGAGUGCGGCAGAGGGGGGUGGAAUUCCUGGUGUAGCAGUGAAAUGCGUAGAGAUCAGGAGGAACACCGAUGGCGAAGGCAGCCCCCUGGGUUGACACUGACGCUCAUGCACGAAAGCGUGGGGAGCAAACAGG
rnacentral:rRNA from 1 species